ensembl:lncRNA
CUUCUACACUGUUGGUGGGAACUUAAAUUAGUAUAAUCACUGUGGAGAAGAGCAUGGAGGUUCCCUAGAAAACUAAAAGUAGAACUACCACAUGAUCCAGCAAUCCCACUCCUGAGCAUAUAUCCAGAGAAAACCAUAUUUUGAAAGGAAACCAUAACCUGAAAUAAGCUGCAGCACCUUUACAACAGCCAAGACAUGGAAGCAACCUAAAUGUCCAUCAACAGAGGAAUGGAUAAAGAAGAUUUAGUAUACAUAUACAAUACAUAAAGCCAUAAAAGAACAAAAUAAUACCAUUCAGCCACAUGGACGGACCUAGAGAUGAUCACACUAAGGCAAAGAAAGACAAAUAUCAUAUGAUAUCACUCAUGGGAUCAAACUUCUUAAAAAUGAUACAAAUGAACUUAUUUAUAAAACAGAAAAAUACUUAAAGAUAUCAAAAACAAACUUAUGGUUACCAAAGGGGAAAUGUUAGGGGGAGGGAUAAAUCAGGAGCUUGGGAUGAACAUACACACCACUACGAAUGAGACAGAUAAGGCCCUACUGUAUAGCACAGGGAGCUCUACUCAAUAUUCGGUGAUAACCUACAUGAGAAGAGAGUCUAAAAUAGGAUGAAUGUAUGUAUAACUGAAUCACUUUGCUGUAACAUGAAACUAAUAUAACACUGUAGAUCAACUAUAUUCCAGUUAAAUUAAAAAUAAAAAAAGAGAAUGACUGCAGCAGACAAUAAAAAUGAACAAACACUGCUCUCAUCAGCAUGGAAAUUGCUAUUUCCUAAACAUUGCCUCUAUAAUGGCAUCACUUUGGUGCAAGUUGGCCAGCCAGCUCUUUGUUCAUAAGAGGUUCAUACUCUAAAUGCAUGUAAUGCUAUCUAACUCCAUCUGGUGUCCUGUUGGUCUCUGAGAGGCUCUUCCCAUGCCUGCACCUUUAUACUCAGGCCCAAUUCAGCCUGCCCACCAGUCCAUGGCCUAGGAGCCAACAGCUGGGAUGAUUAAAUGAAGAACGAGGCAUGCCUGUUCAACUUCAUUUGCUAGAUUGCUCAUUAGAUAUAUAAUGCCCUAUCUUGGCCAGAUAUGAAGUCCACUGUGACUGAGGUGGCCAUCUGUUCAGGGACGGAUCCUGUUAGAAUAAUCAGAGAUCGUGGGGCUCUGGCAGGCACCUCUUCCAGACCUGCGCGGGUGGAUGUGAACAGAGAAGAGAAGAUUGAGGCGGGGGGGUUGUUGCACACACCUUCCAGACCUGAGUCAGCCUCUCCUCCAUAAGGGACAAUCCCAGGGCACCCAGAUGCCUUCCUGAGGUGUAGGAGACAGUCAGGAGGAAACUAGAUUCUGCAUGCCACGACUAAGACGCGAAGCGACCAAAACAACGACAAAAAAAGACACAUGCUUCUGAGAAGCUAAUUAGCCAGAGCAACAGGCAGCUGAUUAUUAACCCCUGCAGUGGUGGAUCACCCUACCUGGUUUCUGGACAUCUUGACUCGAACUCUCUUCCCCAAGAAGUCCUUCAGUGGAUUCCUCAUGAGAUAAACUUUAGGCAGCUCUGGGGAAAAAAAAAAAAAAGAAAGCCAAGUAUAAUGACAUUCAGUUCAGUUCAGUCACUCAGUCGUGUCCGACUCCUUGCGACCCCAUGAACUGCAGCCCGCCAGGCCUCCCUGUUCAUCACCAACUCCCGGAGUCCACCCGAUCCCAUGUCCAUUGAAUAAUGAUAUUAACAU